rnacentral:lncRNA from 1 species
ACGGUGACAGUGCGGAGGAGACGACGACAAUGAUGGUUGCCAAUUAUUUUGAAAACAAAUAAAUAAAAAAGACAUGUGAAGAAUCCACGUCAUUUAAAAAUAAAAAAGUCAAUACCAUGUCAAUUUAACAAUAACACCGUUAAGUCUAAUUUAACGGUAAGGAUAUAAUUGAUGCAAUUUUUAUAAAAUAAGGACUCAAUUGAGACGCUGAAAAAGAAAAGGACUUCUUUGAAAUUUUAGACGAAAACAUGGACCUAUCAAGACAUUAAACCAUUUUAUGAUGACCUAUUAUGACUGGUGAAAAUCACCUGUCAUAAUAGGUUUAUCGGUGAUAUUUUCGUAAUAACAUAAGAGUUAUUAUGACAUAGUUUUGAAGACCAAUCAUAAUAUCUAAUGUGGUGACAAACUUUAAAAUAAGUUUAAAACGUAUUAUGACAUGUACAUGAAUACCUAUCAUAACAUAUAUUUUUUAUGGCUAUUAACUGGGCACCUGUCAUAAUACAUGGAUGCUAUGACAAACUUGAAAUUUUGUUGAUAAUAUAUUAUGAUUGUUUUUGAAAAACGUGUCAUAAUAUCUCCUACAUCCAAUUUUUUUCAUUUCCCUCUACAAUCUCACUUAUGACUCCUAACUCUAGAGCCAUUUUUUUCACUUUCAUGUUCCCUCUGUAAUCCCUAAUUUCUCUUCUCCUCUGCAACCUAAAUGCUAACACUUUAAUUCACAACACUUCACACAAAACUCACUCACACCACACUUUUCUCCAAUAAGCUUAUUUCUAAUCCUUUCACAUUCAUUUCAUCAUCUUCCUAAUGACAUUUAAACACCUUCACACUCUCCUUCUUUUUCUCCUCCUUGUGUUCAGAAUUUCCUAUUUUUUCAUCGUUGGAAAAUGCAAGGUCCAUAUCACUGACAACUUGGACGACGUGUUCAACGAGGAGAAGGAGAUGUGUGGAAGGAAUAGGGUAAGAAACCUGAACCCUCUUUUCUCCCCUAUGAUAUUUCCAAGAUGGAUCCCUUGUAGAUUGGGAAAAGAUGAAGAAGCGCCAUGUCAGACCCGUCAUCGAAUUCAUCAAGCUCUAGUUUUGUCGACAAAAACAUUGUUGCCACUUUUUCUAUGAUGUUUAACAUGUGACCAUUUAAUAUUAUGGUUGUAUGUUU